rnacentral:rRNA from 1 species
GACGAACGCUGGCGGCGUGCUUAACACAUGCAAGUCGAACGGAAAGGCCCUGCUUGCAGGGUACUCGAGUGGCGAACGGGUGAGUAACACGUGGGUGAUCUGCCCUGCACUUCGGGAUAAGCCUGGGAAACUGGGUCUAAUACCGGAUAGGAGCCAUUUUUAGUGUGAUGGUUGGAAAGUUUUUUCGGUGUAGGAUGAGCUCGCGGCCUAUCAGCUUGUUGGUGGGGUAAUGGCCUACCAAGGCGGCGACGGGUAGCCGGCCUGAGAGGGUGGACGGCCACAUUGGGACUGAGAUACGGCCCAGACUCCUACGGGAGGCAGCAGUGGGGAAUAUUGCACAAUGGGCGCAAGCCGGAUGCAGCGACGCCGCGUGGGGGAUGACGGCCUUCGGGUUGUAAACUCCGUUCGCUAGGGACGAAGCUUUUUGUGACGGUACCUAGAGAAGAAGCACCGGCUAACUACGUG